rnacentral:rRNA from 1 species
GCACGGGUGAGUAACGCGUAUCCAACCUGCCCUUCACCACGGGAUAACCCGGCGAAAGUCGGACUAAUACCGUAUGUUGUCCAUUGACGGCAUCCGAUUUGGACGAAAGGCUUGGCGGUGAGGGAUGGGGAUGCGUCCGAUUAGCCAGACGGCGGGGUAACGGCCCACCGUGGCUACGAUCGGUAGGGGUUCUGAGAGGAAGGUCCCCCACACUGGGACUGAGACACGGUCCAGACUCCUACGGGAGGCAGCAGUGAGGAAUAUUGGUCAAUGGGCGUAAGCCUGAACCAGCCAAGUAGCGUGCAGGAUGACGGCCCUAUGGGUUGUAAACUGCUUUUAUGCGGGGAUAAAGUGGCCCACGUGUGGGUUUUUGCAGGUACCGCAUGAAUAAGGACCGGCUAAUUCCGUGCCAGCAGCCGCGGUAAUACGG